rnacentral:lncRNA from 1 species
CGUUCGCGAGUCUGCGUAUAACAGGGUCGUCAGUAGUGGUGACCUUGAAGAAGUUCCGAUUCUUGAAACGUUCCAGGCGGCGUUCGUUUUUGGGUGUGAUGCGAUCGUAGGUACGAUCGUAGUAUUCGAGAGCACCACAGAGGAGAAGGUCUUCAGGCUCGGGAACGGUGAAGGACAGUUUAGAGAACGUGGAGAAGGGGAUCUGGUCGUGCAUGUUCCAUUCCGGUUGGAUAUCCACAGAGGAUUUGAAAACAGCGGCUUCACGGCGCGGCGCAUUAGGGUUUGAGCGGUUCAUGUGGUAUAGCCUAUCGCGACGUGCGCGUUCCUUCUCCUGUUCGCGUUUUCG